UGCUUUGUUUGUUUGUUGGCUGCUGUGUUUCUGUCAUCUGUAUAAUUAACUGUAAACUAUUUCAACAUUAUGUCCCUAAAAUCAUGGCAACUUGGAUUAAAGAUGUUUCAUAAGUAACGGGCGCACCUUCCCCCCGUCAGCGUGGUAUUCCUUCUCGUCGGCCGUCAGCAGCCUGGCGAGGCCGAAGUCUGUGAUCUUGACGUGGUUCGGAGUUUUCACCAGGACGUUCCUCGCCGCCAGGUCUCGGUGCACCAGGUGACGCUCCUCCAGCAGCCGGCGCAGGGUCCUCUUCCUCCGGAUUCUUCGUCGCCGCAGCAACACAAAGAUGACCACUGACACGAUGACGGCGAUCAGCAGCGCGCCGACCACGCCGGCCG